rnacentral:rRNA from 1 species
CCUUACCUACCCUUGACAUGUAUGGAAUCCUGCUGAGAGGUGGGAGUGCCCGAAAGGGAGCCAUAACACAGGUGCUGCAUGGCUGUCGUCAGCUCGUGUCGUGAGAUGUUGGGUUAAGUCCCGCAACGAGCGCAACCCUUGUCCCUAGUUGCUACGCAAGAGCACUCCAGGGAGACUGCCGGUGACAAACCGGAGGAAGGUGGGGAUGACGUCAAGUCCUCAUGGCCCUUAUGGGUAGGGCUUCACACGUCAUACAAUGGUCGGAACAGAGGGUUGCCAAGCCGCGAGGUGGAGCCAAUCCCAGAAAACCGAUCGUAGUCCGGAUCGCAGUCUGCAACUCGACUGCGUGAAGCUGGAAUCGCUAGUAAUCGCGGAU